UAGUUUUAAAAGCCAAAAGUUAUAUUUUGAUUUUGGAUGAUUUAUAGAAAGCUAGGUAGUGUGCUAGUUUCAUAUAUCUGUGGGAGACUCCCAUGGUGGGUUUCCGUUUGCAUAAAUCUUGUCUCUAUUUUUCCUCAGCUUGGUGUUUGUGUUGCCACACCUCCUACGGCACUAUAGUAUAUAAAAUAAACAAUAAAUCCAACAGGGAGAGCGAUAAUGACAGCACUG